GACGAACGCUGGCGGCGUGCUUAACACAUGCAAGUCGAACGGAAAGGCCCUGCUUUUGUGGGGUGCUCGAGUGGCGAACGGGUGAGUAACACGUGAGUAACAUGCCCUUGACUUUGGGAUAACUUCAGGGAACUGGGGCUAAUACCGGAUAGGAGCUCCUGCUGCAUGGUGGGGGUUGGAAAGAUUCGGCGGUUGGGGAUGGACUCGCGGCUUAUGAGCUUGUUGGUGGGGUAGUGGCUUACCAAGGCUGUGACGGGUAGCCGGCCUGAGAGGGUGAACGGCCACAUGGGUACUGCGGGAGGGAGCAGACUGCUACGGGAGGCAGCAGGGGGGAAUAUUGCGCAGUGGGGGGAAGCCUGAUGCAGCAACGCCGGGUGCGGGAUGACGGCCUUCGGGUGGUAAACCGCUGUCGACUGUGACGAAGCGUGAGUGACGGUAACGGGUAAAGAAGCACCGGCUAACUACGUG
rnacentral:rRNA from 1 species